rnacentral:lncRNA from 1 species
AUCACUUUGCACUACCCUUUUAUCUAGUCGCUGCAGGGCCAGGGCAGUGAAGUCUCUUCUCGUUCUUGAGUUCUAGCGAGAGUGCAUCGUGUGAGUGUUGUGGUUCAUGUUCACGUCGGUGUUUACUCUCCCCGGCCAUCAGUGUCUCAUUGGGAACGCCGCGGUGCCGCCGGUGAACGCCGCUGGGAAUGAUCUCGACAUGGCAGACCUUGUUUGGGGCCGGUUGCGUGCGUGAUCUAGGGUUGGUCUGCUCUAUGAGCUCCCAAAAUAAAGAGUGAAGAUUUAAGAUAAAGUGGUUGCUGGAGAGGAGUCUACUCCAGUGCCUGUUCAUCAAGUGGAUGGAGCCAUCUAACUGAUCAUCGUGUUAGAAGUAUCUAGAACCUCUUCUCUGCAACAAAGGCAAGCCCCGGUGCAUUUGCCCCUUCCUUGUGUUUUAAAUGCUUUAUCACCUUAAAUGAUGCAUUAGGUGAUAGGAGUUGUGUGAUGAACAAUUGAUGCAUUACCAUUCCUUGGAAUUUGAAUACUAUACCUUGAUCCCUGAUUUAUAAAAAGAACUGAUAGUGCUUAACCCUGC